GACGAACGCUGGCGGCGUGCUUAACACAUGCAAGUCGAACGAAGUGGCGAACGGGUGAGUAACGCGUAAUCAACCUGCCCUUCAGAGGGGGACAACAGUUGGAAACGCCUGCUAAUACCGCAUACUGAAGGAGGGGAUUGCGUCUGAUUAGCUAGUUGGAGAGGUAACGGCCCACCAAGGCGAUGAUCAGUAGCCGGGUUGGGAGGAUGAACCGCCCAAAUGGGACUGAGACACGGGCCAGACUCCUACGGGAGGUAGCAGUGGGGAAUCUUUCGAAAUGGACGAAAGUCUGACGGAGCAACGCCGCGGGAGUGAGGACGGCCUUCGGGUUGGAAAGCUCUGUUAAUCGGGACGCGGUACCGGAAGAGAAAGCCACGGCUAACUACGUGCCAGAAGCCGAGGUAAUUC
rnacentral:rRNA from 1 species